GAUGAACGCUGGCGGCGUGCCUAAUACAUGCAAGUCGAGCGAACGGACGAGAAGCUUGCUUCUCUGAUGUUAGCGGCGGACGGGUGAGUAACACGUGGAUAACCUACCUAUAAGACUGGGAUAACUUCGGGAAACCGGAGCUAAUACCGGAUAAUAUUUUGAACCGCAUGGUUCAAAAGUAAAAGACGGUCUUGCUGUCACUUAUAGAUGGAUCCGCGCUGCAUUAGCUAGUUGGUAAGGUAACGGCUUACCAAGGCAACGAUGCAUAGCCGACCUGAGAGGGUGAUCGGCCACACUGGAACUGAGACGCGGUCCAGACUCCUACGGGAGGCAGCAGUAGGGAAUCUUCUGCAAUGGGCGAAAGCCUGACGGAGCAACGCCGCGUGAGUGAUGAAGGUCUUCGGAUCGUAAAACUCUGUUAUUAGGGAAGAACAUAUGUGUAAGUAACUGUGCACAUCUUGACGGUACCUAAUCAGAAAGCCACGGCUAACUACGUG
rnacentral:rRNA from 1 species